CGUGACGUCACAGAUGAUAGAAAAACAACGCCGUAACGGCUCUCAUAGAUCUGUGACGUCACAGAUGAUAGAAACAACGCCGUAACUUCUGUAACAGGUCCGUGACGUCACAGAUGAUAGAAAAACAACGCCGUAACGUCUCUAAUAGAUCUGUGACGUCACAGAUGAUAGAAACAACGCCGUAACUUCUGUCACAGGUCCGUGACGUCACAGAUGAUAGAAACAACGCCGUAACUUCUGUCACAGGUCCGUGACGUCACAGAUGAUAGAAACAACGCCGUAAUUUCUGUCACAGGUCCGUGACGUCACAGAUGAUAGAAAAACAACGCCGUAACGUCUCUAAUAGAUCUGUGACGUCACAGAUGAUAGAAAAAACGCCGUAAUUUCUGUCACAGGUCCGUGACGUCACAGAUGAUAGAAAAACAACGCCGUAACGUCUCUAAUAGAUCUGUGACGUCACGGAUGAUAGAAACAACGCCGUAACUUCUGUCACAGGUCCGUGACGUCACAGAUGAUAGAAACAACGCCGUAAUUUCUGUCACAGGUCCGUGACGUCACAGAUGGUCGAAACAACGCCGUAAUUUCUGUCACAGGUCCGUGACGUCACAGAUGAUAGAAAAACAACGCCGUACCGUCUCUAAUAGAUCUGUGACGUCACAGAUGAUAGAGACAACGCCGUAAUUUCUGUCACAGGUCCGUGACGUCACAGAUGAUAGAAACAACGCCGUAAUUUCUGUCACAGGUCCGUGACGUCACAGAUGGUCGAAACAACGCCGUAAUUUCUGUCACAGGUCCGUGACGUCACAGAUGAUAGAAAAACAACGCCGUACCGUCUCUAAUAGAUCUGUGACGUCACAGAUGAUAGAGACAACGCCGUAAUUUCUGUCACAGGUCCGUGACGUCACAGAUGAUAGAAACAACGCCGUAAUUUCUGUCACAGGUCCGUGACGUCACAGAUGAUAGAAAAACAACGCCGUAACGUCUCUAGUAGAUCUGUGACG